rnacentral:piRNA from 1 species
UCCAAUCAGAAUGGUUGCCCACUGACGUC